AUUGGAGGAAAGUAGGGGAUCGCAAGACCUCACGUUUUCGGAGCGGCCGAUAUCAGAUUAGCUAGUUGGUGGGGUAAAGGCCCACCAAGGCGACGAUCGGUAGCUGGUCUGAGAGGAUGAUCGGCCACACUGGGACUGAGACACGGCCCAGACUCCUACGGGAGGCAGCAGUGGGGAAUUUUGGACAAUGGGGGCAACCCUGAUCCAGCCAUGCCGCGUGAGUGAAGAAGGCCUUCGGGUUGUAAAGCUCUUUCGGCCGGGAAGAAAUCGCGCCUGUGAAUAAUGGGCGUGGAUGACGGUACCGGAAGAAGAAGCACCGGCUAACUACGUGCCAGCAGCCGCGGUAAUACGUAGGGUGCGAGCGUUAAUCGGAAUUACUGGGCGUAAAGCGUGCGCAGGCGGUUUUGUAAGCCAGACGUGAAAUCCCCGGGCUUAACCUGGGAAUG
rnacentral:rRNA from 1 species